UACAGAGGGUGCAAGCGUUAAUCGGAAUUACUGGGCGUAAAGCGUGCGUAGACGGUUAUGUAAGUCGGGUGUGAAAGCCCCGGGCUCAACCUGGGAAUGCCAUUCGAGACUGCAUAGCUAGGGUGCGGAAGAGGGAAGCGGAAUUUCCGGUGUAGCGGUGAAAUGCGUAGAUAUCUGGAGGAAUACCGGUGGCGAAGGCGGCAUCCUGGACCGGCAUUGACGCUGAGGAGCGAAAGCUAGGGGAGCAAACGGG
rnacentral:rRNA from 1 species